AAGCAUACAAUGAGCUAACAG
rnacentral:misc_RNA from 1 species